UGGUUUGAGAGCCCUCCUGUACACGUGGUCGCGUUGGGAUAUCCAUUGUCUACGUGUUUUCCAUUCGACAUUCUCUCUUCUCUACUCACCGAUUCUCAUCCAUCGCUUCUUCAUUCUUCUUCUCAGUGAAACCUCACCGCCAUCACCCUAUGGGCGGCCAUCGUUCACCACCACCAACAAUCUGCUUUUUCACCACUGUUCAUGGGGUUUACUUCGUCAACGAUGCUCACCACCCCCACAAGUUCCGGAGAGUGCAGCCUUGAUUUUUGAUCAGUUUUUUUAUCACCAUCAACGACGAGCAAGAGGAGCAACAGCCGCCAUCACUGCAAUUCCUAUUCUAUUGUCUGCGACUCAUUGAUCUUGCGUUUUCUGGUUUUUCUCAUGCCCUAACUCUCGCUCUAUAGGUCAAUUAUGGAAGAUGCAAUUCUGAUUUUGAAGUUUUCGAUUUUUUUGAAUGAUAGAUCAAAUUGGGGAUUUUCUUUUCUUAUCUGACCCUUGAUUUAUAGUUUCUCACAUACUCUGGCAUAUGAGAAGCAGCAUCCAACUGCGGCCACCAUUGCAUCUUCUUCAACCAAACAAUAUAUGUUCCUAAAAACUUAGGUUAGUUUUGAUUUUACCCAGCUCCAAUCUCAGGGCUCUAAAUUGUUGGUGCAGUUCGACAAUUGAUGUGGUGUUGGGUUUAUAACCGACGUUGGUUGUGUCUGGAGGUUUCCGGCUACAACCCAUUGUUGAUUCUGAUGCGGUUUAGAUCGACCUCCACUGCCACCACCACUCUCAGCAUCGUCAGCCUAAUGACGAAGGUAUCAGCUCUAAUGAAGAAGGUGUUGUCGGCUAAUAAGUAAGGAUCGGGAAAAAACCAUUUUUCUUUGUGCAUGUGUAUCUUUCUAUCUAUGCCCACCACAUGUUUGCUGGAAUGCCCAGAUAAGUUGUUUCCGGCCCCACGGUAGAAGCACAUUGUUUUAUUGAACUAUGUUUCUUAAUUGACUUAAAGAAUGAAAAAAGGUCAAAUUCCCAACAUCAACCUAGACUUCAGACACCCUUUUUUCCCGGAUCAAAAACCCGGAAACUUUCAUCUUCCUUCCAUAAUAAAGCAGAUAUAAUUAGCUUUUUUUUGACUUUCCAGAGGAAGCUAUUGAAUGGACAACGAUAUACGAAUUGCCUCAUUAUGGAAGGAAGUCAAAGCAGAUAAAGAAACAAUUAAUGGUGC